UAACUUGUAUUUAGUUUUGCUGGAAGUUAAAAGCAAGGCUCUCAUACACCAUAAGUCCAUAUUUUGACGAUUUUGAUUUUAUACUUAUGUCUCUAAAACAUUAGUUGCUAGAUUACUUUCUUUAAGAUUACAGUAUUCACAAUAUUGAAAUCACAGUGAAAUAUCCUAUAUUAUGCACAUGUAUAAUCACCACCACUACCUCCUCUUCAGCCUCUAGUUGAUGUUUCCUAGAGAUAAGAGAUGUUCAUUUCUGGAGUUUGUCAACUUGCAAUAUCCUCUUAAUUAGCAUAUCAUGGUUGUAUAGGAUAAUGUCUAAUGAAAUUUUAAGUGAAAAUGCUAGAUUUUAAAUUUACUUCAAUAAUUAUGAAUUGAGUACCUGCCGUGACCUUCAAGAUAACACCAUGGAUUUUUCACACUGCAUUAUUCAAUGUGCUUCUGUUUUGAAGAGUUCUAAUGUAUUUAGAUACAUGUUUCUACAGAUUCUGUCAUAUGCCUGAAGAGUCUUCUCUUAUCCAUUAAACAUAUACUGUUGGUUUCAAGUUCUCUCAUCCUCCACAUGACUAAUUUCCUGGAGCAUACACUUUUAAAGUGUAUUUAGGGAAAUCAUUCACUUGUGUCUGACUUGUGCACAGCAAAGCAGUACCACUACCUCUCCAAAUCAGGUGCUCUCUUCCUAAUAAUGCAAACUAAGAUUGUAUUAG
rnacentral:lncRNA from 10 species